rnacentral:sRNA from 1 species
GCGGAGGAAAAGAAACCAACAGGGAUUACCUCAGUAACGGCGAGUGAAGCGGUAACAGCUCAAAUUUGAAAUCUGGUCCCCUCUGGGGGCCCGAGUUGUAAUUUGAAGAGGAUGCUUUUGGCGAGGCGCCUUCCGAGUGCCCUGGAACGGGACGCCACAGAGGGUGAGAGCCCCGUAUGGUAGGACGCCGAGCCUCUGUAAAGCUCCUUCGACGAGUCGAGUAGUUUGGGAAUGCUGCUCAAAAUGGGAGGUAAACCCCUUCUAAAGCUAAAUAUUGGCCAGAGACCGAUAGCGCACAAGUAGAGUGAUCGAAAGAUGAAAAGCACUUUGAAAAGAGAGUUAAACAGCACGUGAAAUUGUUGAAAGGGAAGCGCUUGCGACCAGACUUGCGCCCGUCGGAUCAACCGUCCCUCGUGGGCGGCGCACUCCGGCGGGCUCAGGCCAGCAUCAGUUUUCCUGGGGGGAGAAAGGCGGUGGGAAUGUAGCUCUUCGGAGUGUUAUAGCCCUCCGCGUAAUACCCCCGGGGGGACUGAGGACCGCGCGAAAGCAAGGAUGCUGGCGUAAUGGUCGUCAGCGACCCGUCUUGAAACACGGACCAAGGAGU